GACGAACGCUGGCGGCGUGCUUAACACAUGCAAGUCGAACGGAAAGGCCCUGCUUUUGUGGGGUGCUCGAGUGGCGAACGGGUGAGUAACACGUGAGUAACCUGCCCUUGACUUUGGGAUAACUUCAGGAAACUGGGGCUAAUACCGGAUAGGAGCUCCUGCUGCAUGGUGGGGGUUGGAAAGUUUCGGCGGUUGGGGAUGGACGCGCGGCUUAUCAGCUUGUUGGUGGGGUAGUGGCUUACCAAGGCUUUGACGGGUAGCCGGCCUGGGAGGGUGACCGGCCACAUUGGGACUGAGAUACGGCCCAGACUCCAACGGGAGGCAGCAGUGGGGAAUAUUGCACAAUGGGCGGAAGCCUGAUGCAGCAACGCCGCGUGCGGGAUGACGGCCUUCGGGUUGUAAACCGCUUUCGCCUGUGACGAAGCGUGAGUGACGGUAAUGGGUAAAGAAGCACCGGCUAACUACGUG
rnacentral:rRNA from 1 species